rnacentral:lncRNA from 1 species
CCUCUCUAACUCUUCCCAGGUCUUGCCUUUUUCUUCCUCGGAAUCUUCCUCUGAAUCCUCCUCCUCCUCGUCCUCAUCAGACUCCACCAAUGACUCACUAUCCGAGUCAUCAUCUUCUGACUCAGACUCAGGUUCUGCAUCUGAUGGCUCAUAACCCUUGUCUGAAUCCUCCGAUUUCUCAGAGUCUGAAUCACUAGCUUCCAAAUUCAAAAAUUCCCAACCCCCUUCAUCUAUGAAACUCUGAGGGUCAUCAGUGAUUGUCUUCAGUAUCUGCCGCCAGUUCAAAUUCAACUUGCUCUCAUAAUACUUUAUGUCCGUUGUGUCAAGCCAUUCCUUUAUGCCAUCUAGUGAUGUUGAUGGGAUAGAAUCAAUCCGAAGGACAUCCCGCUUGAAAUCCUUAAACACAAUGGUCAUAUCAAAAUUUUUCUGUCCAAGACCAACUCUCUCCAAGUUCACAAUCUCAAUCUCACUUAGGGUGAUAACAAGGAAAGGAGUCUCAACUAGCUCGACCAAGCAGCUUGAAGUUGGGAUGAUGAAAGAUGAGGUUUUGUAGGGCACCCCAUGGAAGCCAAGCUCUCUCAAAGGCUGAUCAAACUCAAGGUCGAGUCCACUAAACUGCGGUUGGCUCCAAAGAUCGUUCACCCGAUUUACAAAGCUCUGAAAAUCCAUAUUGAUCUUAUUCUUCCUGUCCCUUUCCCUUUGCUCUUCUUCAAUUUCAUCAGGGUCAUAUGCAGACCUCUUUCCGCCUCCCAAAGUCUGGACCGAUUCCAUCACUUCCACAUAAAACUGCACAUCCUUGGUCUUCUUGUUCCCUACCAUGAUAUGAUUGUGAAGGUGAAAGUGGAGAAGAGUGAUCAUUUCCCUCUCUGCAGGCUGGAAAAAAGCAUGUUUGAUGUUUGCAAACAUAACAUCCACACGCUCAUCACUUCUACUAGUUGAAAAUCUAAAUCCAUUUACAUGAGCUUCCAGAGCACCAGGUAGUUUUCUUCCCCGGCCACCAAAUGCUGGACGGAUCCAAAGGUCCGCCAACCUUAUUGGCUUGAAUCUACUCCCAGCAAGCUGAAGUUUCUCCUGAGUAACCAAGGUUGCCCUCUCAGCCCUCUCAGACUCCCUAGCCACAACAUGCCGUCUAAGUGUCUUAAUCUGCUGUACCACUUCACUGAUGUGCCUAGGGUCCUUGGACCGAAAUGAAACUUCCUUCAGGUAAAUAGCCCCUGGGUACUUCAGUGAAUUUGCAUCGUGUGGACUAAAAGGAGUUCCCGGCACAUUAAAUAUAAUACGGAUAUAGCAAUUUCUGUUGGUGUCUUGCUGGCUGGAAACUGUCCUGAUUGUAGCAACAUGGAAAGGUACCAUACUCCCAUAAAUAGGCAGAAGCACAGCCUCAUUCUUCUGGUCUAUCUGAAUCAUUAGAUCUCUUGCAGGAGGAAUAUCAUUGACAUUCUUGUAUGCUAUCAAAUCAGUUGAAGUCUUUGCAGCUCCACGGUUGUCUCCUGUUGCUCUUUCUUCACCAGUAAGUCGCCUUGCAGUUUCUUCAUUCUUUUGACGGGCAAGCUCCGCCUGGUGCUGCCUGCGAAUCUCCUCCUUUGAGAUCUCCCCUGAAUCAGACCUUAGUGUUGUCUUGGACAUGAAGGCCUUUGUGCCAUUAGCCCCAGGUUUAGGUUCUGGUUUUACUUCAUCCUCUUCAGUGAAAGAGUAAGCCACAUCUUUAACAGCUUUUGAGCUCUUACAAGUUGCCACUUCUGGAUUUGUUUGGCCUACAAUAACAGUAUCAGCAACUAAUAGAGAAUAAUUCCGGAUCUUUGGGUUAUUUGUUUGGUUCUGUAAGUUCUGAAAACCGAGUGACAAAUUAAAAAUCAUAUUUGGCCUCAACGAUCGAUCAUUCUUGGCAUUAAGAUUCAGGCCAGACUCACGGAACUCAAGCCCAAUCCCUGUACCUACUGAUUUUGUCAGAUAGGGAACUAAUUCAGGAGCCUCUUUCUCAACCACUGACACAGCUGCUUGAUACACAGCACUGAUCUUGUUCCCAGGCUUUAAUGCACCAAUUGCUGCUUCAUGGGCUUUGAGCAGAACCUCAUAAGCCUUUCUCUGCAUUGGAUUGGCAUCAAUCAAGAAUGUCCUGGCAAGGUUUGAACAGUAAUUGUUAUAUCGGGCUCCAAUUGCAACUAUGAUGACACUGGCAGGAUCAUAGUAGAGAUACUCAUCAUUGCUGGCAGCACUGGGUCUGAGAUCAAAUUCUCCUCCACUUUGAAAUAUGGGAGGGUAACAUAUAUCACAAUUUUCUGCUUUUAACUUCGCCCUAGCUUUGGCAGGAUCCAUUAUGGCCUUCUCUGCGUCAUCCAUCAAAGCAGAAUGGGUAACUUUCUUCUCCUCAUCAAUAGCAUUCUCAAGAGUGGGAAUGACAACAUUGCUCAUCACACUAACACUCAAAUAAGCAGCUUUCUUUACAUUCAAAAUCUCUUCAGCAUCCUUGAAAGCAAGCAGGUCAGAAAACCCAUUAGUUACAUCGGCAAUCUGCUGGAAACCUGCAGUCUUCAGUUUUUCAGCCCAAGUCUCCAAAAGAGUACCUUCUGGAACCUCCUUGGCUAUGUAUCCAACAACACUAGCAUUUGGCUGCGCUCGAAUAGCACGAAAUAUAGCUUCCAUUAAUGUUGUCCCAUCAUCCCCCUUUGCCUUGACAUGAAUAACAACAUCUAUACCUCCCGCAACAUCAUGAGCAGGUGUUCUCAAAACCUCAAGCAAAGCAGCCUUCUUUUGACUACACAAGAAAUGAAUCUGCUUCUUGGUAAAUACCAUUAUAGUGUCCGGGAACUCAUAACCUAGUAACCAAAGAUUCAUGGCGGAUGAUUUCAGGUACCGCAAAUCAUCCGAAGGUGGCGGCGUAGCUAUUGCAAGCGCAUCAGCAGACCCCCAUAGUUCAUCCUUGUGUUUAUUCCAAUGCGAAUACAGUGUCUUAAGUCGUAGUUUGAACUUAUCGGUGUUAAUCUUAUAUGCAUUUUGGCCCCCGCUAGGGUUCCGCUGGUCAGCCAUAUGGGUUCCUCAGCCCUGACAAGCCAAUUUUCAAUCCAGAAAGAAAAAAAGUAAAAGAAAAAUUCGACACCAGUUGUGGUUUAAAACACCUAGUUCUGGCGGCGCCGCACCAUAAUCAGUACGAAAAAGAGAAAAUACUAGGUUUAGGGUUAUGGAACAAGCCAAAACACAAUUGACUCUGGAAUAGAGAAAACGAACAAAAACACAGAAAUAAAAGAAGGAUAAUUCAGGGAAAAAAGAGACCAAGUUUCUCGAAGAUCCAGUAGAAGAAAGAAACUUACCGGAAUCGAAGAACAAGCUUCAAAAAAUGAAAAGGGAGAACUCGAGAGAAGAGAGUGAGUGAAAUUUUUGUUUCCUUUAAUGUUUUGGACUUCCGAACUCAAUAAGAAGUUCUUGCGUAAAUUAGUACUUUUUAUCAAAUUAAUUAAUUAGUUCCCACUUUUUUUUCAAAGUUAAAAUUCAAUUCAUUAUAAAUGAGGCGCACAGUUACAGAUGCAGAGCCCACACACAAAUUGAAAAUAAUCUAAGGCCCAGUAAAAAUAAAAACUAAAUUGUAACCCAUAGCAGAAAAACUCUAAACCCUACAUGUAGAUACGAUCCAGUGCAUCAUAAUUUUCACAGCCUCUCAAUUGAGCUGCUGGUCACCUAAGAAAGAAAAUCACCACCAGGCUUGAUCUGAUCUCCCAAAUAGUAACCUUACAGCCUUAGCAACCCACGCUAAAGCUCAAGAUAAGAUGAAGGCAAGCAGCAAUCCAAGAGAGAGAGGAGACACAAAAGCUCCAUAUACACACAUGCAACCACACUGUUUAUUGACGGGAAAUCUUUUUUAAUAAAAUAAUUUAAUAUUAUUUUUAAUUUUAAUUUAGAAAAUAAAAUAUUAAUAAAUUUAUAUAUGUAAGUGUUGAUAAAAAUUUUAAAAAGUAAAAAAUGACUUAUUUUUAAAAUUUUUUUUACUAUUCUAAAUAUAAAAAAUUAUUAAAAAAAAAUAUUAUUAUAAAAAAUAGUUUUCGUAAAAUAAAUGGCACCUAAAAGUUGUAACCUUUUUCUUUUUCCACUCAUGGUAGUUGAAAUGCUCUCUUUGGUUGGGCUUUGAGUUUGAAUCUUAUUAUUUUGUGGGCGUAGUUAGAGCUUUGCUCUUAUUGGAUUUGCGCGUGUGCCCCUUUAUGAUGGGUCUUACACCAAUUAUGCUUUAAUAAAUCCUAUUUUCAUUUUUGUAAAACAUAUUAUUAGCAUUGAUUUACUCAUUUUUCAAAUUGUGAGAAAUAUCAAUAAAUCUAAAUUUUAUAAUAUCAAAGUUAUUUCGUUUCAAGUUAAAAAAAAUUAGAAACAUCAACUUCUUGUACAUUACAUUCUUCUAUUACAAAGAAAGGGGAAAAUCCAUUAAAAAUCAUUAAUUAGAAACUAUUCUAGGCCAAGCCACGCCUUAAGCAUUCUCUUGAAGUAGAGAAAUAACUGCAGAUAGGAGGAAACUAUAAAACAUCCAAAUUUGAACUGCUAGACCAUUGAAUCAUAACGAAGAACAAUAUUUCAGAUGUACAACUUUAAUCCAUUAAAACUAAUAUCGGCAACUUACGACCAGAAAUCUAUCUUCCAAGCCUCCUACUUGACAUUCAAAAGACAACUGAUUAAAUAAGAACCAUAAGAAUUACCACUAGCUGAUGGCUUCAAUGCAAGCCACGUCAGGAAACUGAAUUUCUAAAGCAAAAUUGCCUGCAGCUGCUACAUAGUACAAAGAAAAGGGGUAAAAAACAUUCUUCACAUCUAUCUGAAUCUGGAACGCUUGGCCAAGCUGCUACUAGGAGGGGCUCGAGACUUCCCAAGUUUCUUCAUUUUCCUUCUAUUCCUCUCCACCUCACUGUCUGACUCAUCCCCUUUCUCCCUGUCCGCAUUGCUUGCUUCCCUCUCUAACUCUUCCCAUGUCUUGCCCUUUUCUUCCUCAGAAUCGUCAUCUGAAUCAUCAUCCUCCUCAUCAUCAUCAGAUUCCACCAAUGACUCACUAUCAGAGUCAUCAUCUUCUGACUCAGACUCAGGUUCGGCGUCUGAUGGCUCAUAACCCUUGUCUGAAUCCUCGGAAUUCUCAGAGUCUGAAUCACUUGCUUCCAGAUUCAAAAAUUCCCAACCCCCUUCAUCUAUGAAACUCUGAGGGUCAUCAGUAAUUGUCUUCAGUAUCUGCCGCCAGUUCAAAUUCAACUUGCUCUCGUAAUACUUGAUGUCUGUAGUGUCGAGCCAUUCCUUUAUACCAUCCAGUGAUGUCGAUGGAAUAGAAUCAAUCCUAAGGACAUCUCGCUUGAAAUCCUUAAACACAAUGGUCAUAUCAAAAUUUUUCUGUCCAAGACCAACUCUCUCCAAGUUCACAAUCUCAAUCUCACUUAGGGUGACAACAAGGAAAGGAGUCUCAAUUAGCUCGACCAAGCAGCUUGAAGUUGGGAUGAUGAAAGAUGAGGUUUUGUAGGGCACCCCAUGGAAGCCAAGCUCUCUCAAAGGCUGAUCAAACUCAAGGUCGAGUCCACUAAACUGCGGUUGGCUCCAGAGAUCGUUCACCCGAUUUACAAAGCUCUGAAAAUCCAUAUUGAUCUUAUUCUUCCUGUCUCUUUCCCUUUGCUCUUCUUCAAUUUCAUCAGGGUCAUAUGCAGACCUCUUUCCGCCUCCCAAAGUCUGGACCGACUCCAUCACUUCUACAUAAAACUGCACAUCCUUGGUUUUCUUGUUCCCUACCAUGAUAUGAUUGUGAAGGUGAAAGUGGAGAAGAGUGAUCAUUUCCCUCUCUGCAGGCUGGAAAAAAGUAUGUUUGAUGUUUGCAAACAUAACAUCCACGCGCUCAUCAUUUCUACUGGUUGAAAAUCUAAAUCCAUUUACAUGAGCUUCCAGAGCACCAGGUAGUUUUCUUCCCCGGCCACCAAAUGCCGGACGGAUCCAAAGGUCUGCCAACCUUAUUGGCUUGAAUCUACUCCCCGCAAGCUGAAGUUUCUCCUGAGUAACCAAGGUUGCCCUCUCAGCCCUCUCAGACUCCCUAGCCACAACAUGCCGUCUAAGUGUCUUAAUCUGCUGUACCACUUCGCUGAUGUGCCUAGGGUCCUUCGACCGAAAUGAAACCUCCUUAAGGUAAAUAGCCCCUGGAUACUUCAGUGAAUUAGCAUCAUGUGGACUAAAAGGAGUUCCCGGCACAUUAAAUAUAAUACGGAUAUAGCAAUUUCUGUUGGUGUCUUGCUGGCUGGAAACUGUCCUGAUUGUAGCAACAUGGAAAGGUACCAUACUCCCAUAAAUAGGAAGAAGCACAGCCUCAUUCUUCUGGUCUAUCUGAAUCAUUAGGCCUCUUGCAGGAGGAAUAUCAUUGACAUUCUUGUAUGCUAUCAAAUCAGUUGAAGUCUUAGCAGUUCCACGGUUGUCUCCUGUUGCUCUUUCUUCACCAGUAAGUCGCCUUGCAGUUUCUUCAUUCUUUUGACGGGCAAGCUCCGCCUGGUGCUGCCUGCGAAUCUCCUCCUUUGAGACCUCCCCUGAAUCAGACCUUAGUGUUGUCUUGGACAUGAAGGCCUUUGUGCCAUUAACCCCAGGUUUAGGUUCUGGUUUUACUUCAUCCUCUUCAGUGAAAGAGUAAGCCACAUCUUUAACAGCUUUUGAGCUCUUACAAGUUGCCACUUCUGGAUUUGUUUGGCCUACAAUAACAGUAUCAGCAACUAAUAGAGAAUAAUUCCGGAUCUUCG